GACAUGGGGAGGUAGUGACAAUAAAUAACAAUACUGGGCUCAUCGAGUCUGGUAAUUGGAAUGAGUACAAUCUAAAUCCAUUAACGAGGAUCCAUUGGAGGGCAAGUCCAGUGCCAACGGCCGCAGUAAUUCCAUCUCCCUAGCAUAUAUUUAAGUUGUUGCAGUUAAAAAGCUCGUAGUUGGAUCUUGGGUCAUAAAGGUCAGUCUACUUACUUGGUGUGCACCUGCCCUUUCGUCCCUUUUGUCGGUGGUGUGCUCCUAGCCUUAAUUGGCUGGGUAGAUGGGAUCCACAACGCUCAUCUAGGACGAAUAAGAACCAAUUUUGGAUCCCGA
rnacentral:ncRNA from 1 species